rnacentral:rRNA from 1 species
UACGUAGGGUGCAAGCGUUGUCCGGAAUUAUUGGGCGUAAAGAGCUCGUAGGCGGUUUGUCGCGUCUGCUGUGAAAACUGGAGGCUCAACCUCCAGCCUGCAGUGGGUACGGGCAAACUAGAGUGCGGUAGGGGAGAUUGGAAUUCCGGGUGUAGCGGUGGAAUGCGUAGAGAUCGGCAGGAACACCCAGGGGGAAACCAGUCGACUGGGCAUCUACUGACGCUGAGGUGCGAGAGCGUGGGGAGCGAACCGG